rnacentral:rRNA from 1 species
UGGGGAAUAUUGCACAAUGGGGGAAACCCUGAUGCAGCGACGCCGCGUGGAGGAAGAAGGUCUUCGGAUUGUAAACUCCUGUUGUUGGGGAAGAUAAUGACGGUACCCAACAAGGAAGUGACGGCUAACUACGUGCCAGCAGCCGCGGUAAAACGUAGGUCACAAGCGUUGUCCGGAAUUACUGGGUGUAAAGGGAGCGCAGGCGGGAAGACAAGUUGGAAGUGAAAUCUAUGGGCUCAACCCAUAAACUGCUUUCAAAACUGUUUUUCUUGAGUAGUGCAGAGGUAGGCGGAAUUCCCGGUGUAGCGGUGGAAUGCGUAGAUAUCGGGAGGAACACCAGUGGCGAAGGCGGCCUACUGGGCACCAACUGACGCUGAGGCUCGAAAGUGUGGGUAGCAAACAGGAUUAGAUACCCUGGUAGUCCACACCGUAAACGAUGAUUACUAGGUGUUGGAGGAUUGACCCCUUCAGUGCCGCAGUUAACACAAUAAGUAAUCCACCUGGGGAGUACGACCGCAAGGUUGAAACUCAAAGGAAUUGACGGGGGCCCGCACAAGCAGUGGAGUAUGUGGUUUAAUUCGACGCAACGCGAAGAACCUUACCAAGUCUUGACAUCCCUUGACAGACAUAGAAAUAUGUUUUCUCUUCGGAGCAAGGAGACAGGUGGUGCAUGGUUGUCGUCAGCUCGUGUCGUGAGAUGUUGGGUUAAGUCCCGCAACGAGCGCAACCCUUAUGGUCAGUUACUACGCAAGAGGACUCUGGCCAGACUGCUGUUGACAAAACGGAGGAAGGUGGGGAUGACGUCAAAUCAUCAUGCCCUUUAUGACUUGGGCUACACACGUACUACAAUGGCGUUAAACAAAGAGAAGCAAGACCGCGAGGUGGAGCAAAACUUCAAAAAUGGUCUCAGUUCGGACUGCAGGCUGCAACCCGCCUGCACGAAGUUGGAAUUGCUAGUAAUCGUGGAUCAGCAUGCCACGGUGAAUACGUUCCC